rnacentral:lncRNA from 1 species
UCCUGCCUUUCCUGGUAGCUCACAGUAGAUCAAAUUAAUGUCCAUUUUCUUGGGUCUAAAAUGGUAUGACAUUAAAUAUUUUAAUAAAGGUUGCAUCUAUACACAUAUCAAUUAAAUAUUUUAGUCCACUACCUGUCUCGUUACUGUUAAUAGUACUAGUAGUAGAGUUGAGCCUUAUUCACACUAGUUAAACCAACAUGUUCCGAUGUCGGACAAAAAUAUUACAAUUCAAUUAGUCACAGCCAAAGACGUUCCUUUCUAGCUAGUAAGCCAUUGUGAUUUGUAGGAUAAUACCAACUGUCCUUUCAAAAAUUUAGUGCCACCUUAACAUUCUAGCAGACAAUAUAUGACCCCUAAAAUACACAAAGAGUAGAAGAUAAUC